AGCAGCCGCGGUAAUUCCAGCUCCAAUAGCGUAUAUUAAAGUUGUUGCAGUUAAAAAGCUUGUAGUUGAAUUUCGGGGUCAGCAAGUUGGUCGUGCCACCGGUAUGCACUGGCUUUGCUGAUUCCUCCUUCUUGUAGAACCGUAAUGCCAUUAAUUUGGUGUUGCGGGGAAACAGGACUGUUACUUUGAAAAAAUUAGAGUGUUUAAAGCAGGCUAACGCUUGAAUACAUUAGCAUGGAAUAAUGAAAUAGGACGACGAUCCUAUUUUGUUGGUUUCUAGGAUUGACGUAAUGAUUAAUAGGGAUAGUUGGGGGCAUUAGUAUUCAAUUGUCAGAGGUGAAAUUCUUGGAUUUAUUGAAGACUAACUACUGCGAAAGCAUUUGCCAAGGAUGUUUUCAUUAAUCAAGAACGAAAGUUAGGGGAUCGAAGACGAUCAGAUACCGUCGUAGUCUUAACCAUAAACUAUGCCGACUAGGGAUCGGAUGAUGUUAAUUUUAUAAUGACUCAUU
rnacentral:rRNA from 1 species